rnacentral:rRNA from 1 species
GUUAGGAAUAUUGGGCAAUGGAGGAAACUCUGACCCAGCAACGCCGCGUGAAGGAAGAAGGUUUUCGGAUUGUAAACUUCUGUUCUAUGGGAAGAAGAAAGUGACGGUACCAUAGAAGAAAGCCACGGCUAACUACGUGCCAGCAGCCGCGGUAAUACGUAGGUGGCGAGCGUUGUCCGGAAUAACUGGGCGUAAAGGGAGCGUAGGUGGUAAUUUAAGUUAAAUGUGAAAGCCCAAGGCUCAACCUUGGAAUUGCAUUUAAUACUGGGUUACUAGAGUGCAGGAGGGGUAAGCGGAAUUCCUAGUGUAGCGGUGGAAUGCGUAGAUAUUAGGAGGAACACCAGAGGCGAAGGCGGCUUACUGGACUGUAACUGACACUGAGGCUCGAAAGCGUGGGGAGCAAACAGGA